AUGAAAAUAACAUCAAAUAUAUAGAUAGAUAUCAAUCGUCACAUGCAUACAAUAGAUGCCAAGACAUCACCAGCCAUCAAAUGUUUGACAAAAAAUAGGCACGCUGGCCAGAGUUUGCUACAUCUAACUGAGUAAACAUCUUAAUUAGCACGUAUAUAUUGAUGUAGGUCAACUAGAGUUUUCUACAUCACAAAACAUGUUAACUAUACAUGCACCAAAAUGUUACACCAAAACAUGUACCACCAUGUUAACAUCAAGAACCCAACUGGUUGCUCAAUAGUGACUGGCUGAAAAAUAAUCCCCCAAACAUCCCUUCAUCGUCUGCAACACGAAGACUUGAGGCAACACAAUGUUCCUGCCUUCCUGGAAAGUAAGAUUUGCAAAUUUUCAAAGGCUAGAACAUGACAAUAAGAAGGAAAAAAUAGAAAGCAUAAGGAAAGGAUCAAGGUGCCAUAGAGUCACUAAUUUGUGAUGCAUUAGUUUGAAUCGCCUGAAACUAUUCUAGGGUAUGUUCAUAAAGAACUUUUUGAAACUAUUCCAGGAAAUAAAAAGGCUAAAGUUAAGUACUUCUCACACCUCUAGUAACCCAGAAUCUAACUUAAGUUGUGAGCUAUUACUUUUACUCUACACAUAAUCACAAAAGAAGUGAUUAUCUUUGUUUCGAAAUAAAGUAUGAACUACACUCAACUCUGUUGCAAUGCAAAUUAGUGUGUUACAUCAAAUCACCAAAGUUCUAAACAGAAUUUCCUAUUUCCAAUAAUGAGAACCCAGAAAUGCAAAAAUUGGUAUAAAUUUGCGCAGCAUAACAACUGUAAAUUGGACAACUGGACAUACGAAAAGAUAUUAUGAUCCCUCCCACAUCUCACACAACCCCAUUAAUCAAAUGAUCCAGCACCACACAGGUUAGCAUCAUACAUCAAAGAAGCAUGCAUAUUGUCACAAGUAUGUGAACAUCAAAACGAACAGACCAUCACUAGUUGUAUCAUUUGAGAUUAGUUUGAGAAAUAGAUACGUGAAGAGAGCUAGGAUUUAUUUCUUGUUGAGCACACAAAGCUGGUGGUUCUUCGCUAUUUUCUAGAAU
rnacentral:lncRNA from 1 species